UACGGGGGGGGCAAGCGUUGUUCGGAAUUACUGGGCGUAAAGGGCUCGUAGGCGGCCAACUAAGUCGGAUGUGAAAUCCCCAGGCUUAACCUGGGAACUGCAUCCGAUACUGGAUGGCUUGAAUCCGGGAGAGGGAUGCAGAAUUCCAGGUGUAGCGGUGAAAUGCGCAGAUAUCAGGAGGAACACCGAUGGCGAAGGCAGCUCGCUGGGACGGUACUGACGCUGAGACGCGAAAGCGUGGGGAGCAAACAGG
rnacentral:rRNA from 1 species